CAACUUUUACAGCAGUGAGUGUCGCGACUGUUUUGUUUGACUCUGACUCAAAGUGGUUCACCCUUCAUUUUCUCAGAGAUGCUACAGCACAAUUCUUCAAUGUUUCCCGCGGAAUAGGAGUAUUUGAAAUUGAAGGACAGCUGGAGAAUAACUUGUCCAGGAUCAAGUGAGAGAUAUCGGCUUCUGGUUUCUGAUGGCUGCCACUUGAACAAGUAUGCCUUGUUUGCAAGGCAUUUGAAUGACAAGUUGACGUCUGGAGAGCUGUUAGUCUACUCUAUAGUCCGAAUGAACCGCUUGUUUACAUCUACGCUUAAAAAAUUAGGAAGGCCAGAAAUGUUUCAGGAUCCACCCACACACAGCCGUUGCUACCUCUGAUGGGAAAUAACCCUACUGAACUUUCACCUCCAGCUGACGAGCACAUAUUCCUACUCACUAGUUCCAGCUGGUACCAGAACGAUGAUCUAGCGAUCUGCCCCAGCUUCACACAGGAAACAUCACAAAAAUGGGCAUAUGAUUAGUGAAACUGAACAGUUUGAACAAGAUCCUGAAUAUGGGCUUUCCACGACACUUUACUAUCUGAACACCUAGAAACUCAAAGACUUAAUGCUGCCAUUUUUACUAUUGGAACAGUAUCUCAAGCCCAGAGAAACAGAGCAACAGUUGAAACCUUCGCUAAAACAAUUAGAAACUCUGCAGCAAUUCAGACAUUUUCUCAACAUUAAAUUUCAAGAACUUUUGAGAAUCCAGAGAGAACAUAUAAAACAGCUUGAAGCUAAAUUGAAACAAAGAGAUUUCCAGCCAAUGGAGGACAGCUUUGAAGCUAAUGGGUGUUUUUAGCGUCACUCCUGCACAGUAAUGAAUUAUUCUCUUUAUUACAAGAGUUGCUCUCCAGAUUACAAAACCUAAUUAAUGUGGCCACUGAGAAUGACAGUUUCAUCAUGUAUCAGCAGAAAAUGAAAAUUAUCCUCGGAAAUGGGAAUGACAUUGAUGUGUUUAUAGAUUAUGGAGCGGGACUGCAGCUUCAAAUAAUUAUUUGAAAUUGUUGAGAGAAUGUCGAAGAAUACCAUUGGCCCUAAACAGUAAAUUGGAAUCCAGCUCCUGCAAUGAAAUGAAUUAACAGAAAUUGAAUGGAAAAUCUGUUUCUGGAGACUGGAGUGCAGGUCCUGCAAUAAAAACGUUUAGCUGUGAUAAAUAUUUAUUUUCAAAAACAAAUGCCAAUUUAUCUAUGAUCAUUAUCUAUUUAUUUAGUUAGUGUUUAAAAAAAUAAAAGUUUAUUAAAACCAAA